rnacentral:rRNA from 1 species
GGGCGUAAAGGGCUCGUAGGUGGUUUGUCGCGUCGUCUGUGAAAUUCCGGGGCUUAACUCCGGGCGUGCAGGCGAUACGGGCAUAACUUGAGUACUGUAGGGGUAACUGGAAUUCCUGGUGUAGCGGUGAAAUGCGCAGAUAUCAGGAGGAACACCGAUGGCGAAGGCAGGUUACUGGGCAGUUACUGACGCUGAGAAGCGAAAGCAUGGGUAGCGAACAGGAUUAGAUACCCUGGUAGUCCAUGCCGUAGACGGUGGGCGCUAGGUGUGAGGGUCUUUUCACGACUUUCGUGCCGUAGCUAACGCAUUAAGCGCCCCGCCUGGGGAGUACGGCCGCAAGGCUAAAACUCAAAGGAAUUGACGGGGGCCCGCACAAGCGGCGGAGCAUGUGGAUUAAUUCGAUGCAACGCGAAGAACCUUACCUGGGCUUGACAUACACCGGAUCGGGCUAGAGAUAGUCUUUCCCUUUGUGGCUGGUGUACAGGUGGUGCAUGGUUGUCGUCAGCUCGUGUCGUGAGAUGUUGGGUUAAGUCCCGCAACGAGCGCAACCCUUGUCUUAUGUUGCCAGCAUUUGGUUGGGGACUCAUGAGAGACUGCCGGGGUCAACUCGGAGGAAGGU